rnacentral:rRNA from 1 species
CUGCCCAAUGAAAAUUUAAAUGGCCGCAGUAUUUUGACUGUGCAAAGGUAGCAUAAUAAAUAGUUUUUUAAUUGAAGACUGGAAUGAAAGAGAGGAUGAAAUUUAAGCUGUCUCUAUUUAAAUAGUAGAAAUUUAUUUUAAGUAAAAAAUCUUAAAUAUAUUUAAGGGACGAGAAGACCCUGUAGAAUUUUUAAAAAAAUAAUUAUAUAAUUACGUUAAUUUAAAGGUAAUAAUAUAAAUAUUUUUUUUUUGUUGGGAGGGCAUUAAAAUUUAAUAAACUUUUAAUUUUAAAGAACAUUUAUAAAUGAAAUUAGUAAUGAUGUUUAUAUAAAAAAAAUAAAAUUACCUCAGGGAUAACAGCGUAAUAAAUUUUUAAAGUUCAUAUUAAAAAAUUUGAUUGCGACCUCGAUGUUGAAUUAAAAUAAAUUUUAGGUGUAGAAGCUUAAUAUUUAA